rnacentral:rRNA from 1 species
UACGUAGGGACCGAGCGUUGUCCGGAAUCAUUGGGCGUAAAGAGCGUGUAGGCGGCUUGCUAAGUCUUGCGUGAAAUCUCGGGGCUCAACCCCGAGCGGUCGUGGGAAACUGGCAGGCUAGAGUGCGGGAGAGGAGAAUGGAAUUCCUGGUGUAGCGGUGAAAUGCGCAGAUAUCAGGAAGAACACCCGUCGGCGAAGGCGGUUCUCUAGUACGGUACUGACGCUGAGACGCGAAAGCGUGGGGAGCGAACAGG